AUAUUAAUAAGCGGAGGAAAAGAAACUAACAAGGAUUCCCCUAGUAACGGCGAGUGAAGAGGGAAGAGCUCAAAUUUGUAAUCUGGCAGGCUACGCUUGUCCGAGUUGUAAUUUGAAGAAGCGUUUUCUGCACUGUCAACGGCACAAGUCCCUUGGAAGAGGGCCGCAGAGAGGGUGAAACGCCCGUCUUUGCCAGCGACAGCUGCUUUACGAUGCGCUUUCUAAGAGUCGGGUUGUUUGGGGAAUGCAGCCCAAAGACGGUGGUAAAUUCCAUCUAAAGCUAAAUAUAAGCAAGAGACCGAUAGCGCACAAGUA
rnacentral:rRNA from 1 species